rnacentral:rRNA from 1 species
UUAGGAAUCUUGCGCAAUGGGGGAAACCCUGACGCAGCGACGCCGCGUGAGUGAUGAAGGCCUUCGGGUCGUAAAACUCUUUCGAUGGGAACGAAAAAAAUGACGGUACCCAUAGAAGAAGCACCGGCUAACUCCGUGCCAGCAGCCGCGGUAAUACGGAGGGUGCGAGCGUUAUUCGGAAUUACUGGGCGUAAAGAGCUCGUAGGCUGUUUGAUAAGUCUGAUGUGAAAGCCCUGGACUCAAUCCAGGAAGUGCAUUGGAUACUGUCAGACUAGAGUAUAGGAGGGGUGAGUGGAAUUCCUGGUGUAGAGGUGAAAUUCGUAGAUAUCAGGAGGAACAACGGUGGCGAAGGCGACUCACUGGACUAUUACUGACGCUGAGGAGCGAAAGCGUGGGGAGC